UGGAUAGCUCAGUUGGUUAGAGUGUGGUGCUGAUAACGCCAAGGUUGCAGGUUUGAUCCCCGUACAGGAAAG